rnacentral:lncRNA from 1 species
AGUUUUUAAAUUUAAAUAAUAAAUUAUGUUUGUCCCUUUGGCCCUCGGUUGGAGACGGAGGCAAAUAUGACCAUGUACUGUUCAUUAAAAUAUUAAUAUCUUGAAGAGCCAGAAGGCUAAAGCCAUCGGUUGGAAAUGGCGUUAUAAGUCCAUGUCGAUUGGGAUGAGUUGCUUUUAAGUGUUUUUGGUUGAGAGGGUAGAUACCUGAGUAGAGGAUGAAGACGAAAUGAGUUUUGAGGAAUUAAGUUGAAGACAUCCGUGGUGGUAUAAGAGUUCUGAAAAGUAGCCAUCGAUUCGAGGAUGCUAAUGUCUGAAUAAAACUUAGGCUUUAAUUUGGUGGGAUACGUCAAACGUCUGUAUUGCUUUCUACAACAACUAUGCGAUGCGAACCACAUACAUUUGGGUAGAAAAGUCGUGGACCAAACAACGUGGGAAACUUGUUUUUUAUUAAUAAAAA